rnacentral:rRNA from 1 species
AGGACGAACGCUGGCGGCGUGCUUAACACAUGCAAGUCGAACGAGGAUACAGGAGAGCUUGCUCGAACGUAUCCGAGUGGCGGACGGGUGAGUAACGCGUGAACAAUCUGUCUCAUACAGGGGGAUAACGCAUCGAAAGAUGUGCUAAUACCGCAUAGAACCACGGUUUCGCAUGGGGCUGAGGUGAAAGGAGCGAUCCGGUAUGAGGUGAGUUCGCGUCUGAUUAGAUAGUUGGUGAGGUAACGGCCCACCAAGUCAACGAUCAGUAGCCGACCUGAGAGGGUGAUCGGCCACAUUGGGACUGAGACACGGCCCAGACUCCUACGGGAGGCAGCAGUGGGGAAUAUUGGGCAAUGGGCGAAAGCCUGACCCAGCAACGCCGCGUGAAGGAAGAAGGUUUUCGGAUCGUAAACUUCUGUCCUAUGUGAAGAGUAGAAGACGGUAGCAUAGGAGGAAGCCCCGGCUAACUACGUGCCAGCCGCCGC